GUUACGCUGAUUGUACAAAAAGGUUUAAGCAAUUGUGAAUGGUGUUUCGAAGAGUCCAGUUAUUACUGGUUCAUCUCUAACAGCUCAAACGUUAACUAGUACUGCAUGGUCUUCCCUCAUUCUCUUAACUAGCGAAUCGUAUCCAACAGUUAUCAGGUAUGUGGGCAUGGGAGGAUGUAGUGUGAUGGCUCGUAUUGGAGGAAUAGUAGCACCGUUUAUAUUCAAUUUAAGUAGUAACAGAAUGGUACCAUACAUUAUAAUGGGUCUUAUGAUCACAAUAAGCGGUAUUUGUACUUUACUGCUGAAUGAAACAAAGAAUUCUGUUUUACAAGACUUAAUUGGAGACAUCAAUGGAAAUAGAGAACUUCAGAAAUCUGGCGUACCAGUAUGUAAAGUAUCAGAAGAUCUGAAGAGGGCACAAAAGGGGGAAAUAAAUGAAAAUAUGAAUAUGAAAGACGCCCAAAAUACUUAUAUGUAGUGGCAUACAUUUUUGCUAACGCCAAUGAUAAAUCAGUAGAAUUAAAAGGGUGCUUCUGUUUCUUUCAUAAUAAAAUGGCUAUGGAACCCCAUGUCUAUAAUCGUGAUAAAACUUGUUAAUCUUAGGGAUUUUUGUUAAAAGCAAUUUAAAGUGGUGUGCCAAGAGUGAAAAGUGGACUUGUUAGGGGUGUCUGGGGUAUUUCUUUUUGGUGGAUUUCGGCAUAUCUCAAGGAUUAAAAAGCCACCAGUAUGGCUAAAAAGUAGGCUAUAUCCAUAAUUUU